GGACUUCCUGCAGGAAGGCAAGAGUUGAAGCAGGGGACCCAUGAGGAAACCACUGCGCUGGCCCAGCUCCACCCCAUGCUCCAGUCCAGGCAGAGAUGACAGGUUCUCCUUCAAACAGCUGAGGAAAGAGGUGGAGGCUGAUGCUCAGGUUGCUGCAGUUCCUGCAAGUCACAUGGAGUGUGGAGGAAACUUCAGCCUGUGCAGGAGUCUGGAGCUGCUCAAGAUUGCAUAUCUCUAAUGUGUCAAUGAUAAAGGAGCUUUUGAAAAUGAUAUGUAGUUGAAGGCAGAGUGAGGCAGAGUUUCAGACAGAAGGGCAGGACUAUCUCCUUUUUCACUGCAUUUAUUUCAACCCAAACUCAGCUCUCUUCCAAAGUCCCUGGUGUUCAGCCCCAAGACAAGCUCCGAUGGAGCUGCAGGGCCAGAGACCAGUAGCAUCCUAGCUCGUGUAAGAGGGAGAAGACCUGGCUUCUAGUCCUUGACUUCUUCACUAACCAUCUUUCAUGAGCCUGGGGCUUAUCACUUCACCUCUUUGGACCUCAGUUUCUGCAUCUGUAAAAUGGUGAUUAUCAUCCCUCUUGUAGAAAUCAACAUAAACAAAUUAUCACAUGCUUUUCUUCUUGUCACAUGAAAAGCAACAAUCUCAUAAAGCGGCAGUUUUUCAGGGAGUGUUCUGGGUGCCCUGUAGUGAAU
rnacentral:lncRNA from 1 species